CGCGGCUGAUUCGAGCGCCGUGGCCCACUCGUCGCCGAGGGCAUCUGCCAACGCCGCACAGGGAUCGCCUCUGUUGACGGGCACCCCGAGUUCGUUUGCAAGGGCCAUCAGACGUUCCGUCUGGUUGACGUUGCGGGCGCCCUGCGCGCAGAUACCUACCGCGGCCUCGACCUGCGGCCGCGCCGCGACGCGUCGCCUCCUGGUGCCCCUUUGUGCCUCCAUUGUUUCUUGGCCUGUUUUCCUUUUUUUCCCCUUUUUUUACCUCUCCGUCUGUCUCUUUGUGUGUGGCUGUCGGCUUGCUUACGCCCUUGCUCUGGGUUUGAGCGGUUCGCGCGCUCCAGAGCACGAUCGCCACGGAACCGGUCGGUGCACGCGGUUGGUCAUUUCUUGUCCACCCCCCUCCCCUCUGCCGGUCUCAUGUCGCCCGCUGGCGUUGCUGCCACACCGCCCUUUUUGUGUGUCUCUCUUGUUGCGUCGGCGCACCCAAAAAAACACAAAAAAGGCGGGAUCAUUCCCUGCGCUGGUCGCCAU
rnacentral:lncRNA from 1 species